rnacentral:lncRNA from 1 species
GAACUUCACACGGAGAAUCUCUGAUGUCACCAAAGCCUUCUCUAGGGAUUUUUCAAUGCCCUUUUCCCAAUUCUCACCUUUUUCUCUCUUUUUUCAUAACUUCAAAACCACCCCUCCUGUGUCCUCUUGUACUCAGAUUUCACCACACAGAGAUCCAAUAAUCUUCAAGCUCUCUGGAAUUGAGUUUGGGUGCCAAAAAUAGACUUACAUCCCCAACAACAACGCCGAUCUUUGGAUUACCUUUCUAAAACUAAGGGCGUUUCCGAGAGAUUGGAGGCACUGGAUGAUGAUCUUGACUCUUGAGAAGUUAGAGCAAGAGAUGGUCAAGAUGAAUGACUACAAAAACAAAUCCUUAUUGCACAUUGAUUCUCAAGUAUGGUAGGCUAUCUUCUAGGGGGUUCUUUGAAGUUUUUACUUUUAAUGAUUCUGAUCAAUCGGUAAUUGUUUAUUUACUUUAUUUUCUUGUUUUCUUGGUUCCAACUGUUGAGGUUUUCAAAAAGGAAGAUGAGAAGAGUAGUGAAAUAUGGAAUCUGAAGAAUCUAAGAGGCCAGUGCUGAAGGAGUUCCUGCCAUUAAAGAGAAAUUUUGACUAGGAGGAACAAAGUGCAGUAAUACUGGAGAAAAACGGCAGAGGGAAGAACAAGAUGAACUCUGAUCACAAAAAGAGACAGAAAUCAGCCACAUAAAUUCAAAGGUAAACACUAAACAAUUUUUUCCUUUUUUUCCUCUAAUGUUUGUGGGGGUUACGGACUAGAACAUUGCAACACAAAAACCAUUUCACCCCUGCCAAUUAAGCAAAGGAACAAUCAUUACAUUAUUCAAGGCCAAUGACCCCACUUUUCUGCCAACCUCACCAACAGCAAGACAUGGAGGUUGAAGAAGGACCAAAUCGAUCCCUUCUUCUUCCCAGAAACUAAGGACACAAACUGGGUUGCAACUCCCAUGCAGACCCAUGGGCAAUGGUGCCACUUAUAGGCUCUGAAUGAAUGGCCAAAGCAGAAAGGAGGAACAGUAGGCAACCUGGAAGAACAACAGAAGAUGCCAGUCAGCAGAGCAGCAUGCUAGUUUCAUGGCCACCAUGGAGCUCCUUGGUGACCCAGAAAGUUAUAUUUCAGUAUUAGAGAAUCAUGAAUCUGAAUUUAUCUUUUGUGAGAGUUUUAGCCUCUUUAGAAUCUCAAACUUUACAGACAAUGAAGAGAAAAGGGAAAGGGAACAAAAAUAUAAACUCAAGAUUAUUUUCUAAUAUGAUCCAUUUCUUAAGAAAACACAAAGCCUACAAAUUUUGAACCGUAGAGAAAUUUGCAGAAUGUUAACUAUACUUCACUUUCUUUUAUUUUUUUCUUAAUUAAAUAAGACAGUUAAAUUUCUUAGAAAUUUUAUUCCUUAAAACCAUUUUUUUUUCUCCCUUUCCCUUUCUCUUUCCCUUUCCCCUUCAGUUUCGGAGAACUGGAUACGAAAAUUUGUGAAAGGGCAUUUUGAAACUAUAAAAACAAAUUUCAAAAAACACAAAAUUUCAAAUGUUAUUAUUAGAUUUAAGUUUCCAACGCACUUUCAAUUGCAACGAAAUAAGAGAAUUGAAUUAUCAUCUAAUUUUUCUUUUUCCAUUCCUCACCAAUUUCCAAGAUUUUAUAUGAAAAUGAAGAACACCUGUUUCAGAGAAUGUAGUCCUACUCUACAAAACAUCGCAUGGUACGGUAAGUUUCUUCUUUGCUAGACCUCAUGCAUACCUAAAUUAGGGUUUCUUUUCUCUCUACCAUCUUUGAUAGUUGAACAUUUAGGGUAUCUGGGUUCAAAAGUAGGAUUGUUUAUUUCAAGAAAAUUUGAAGAAAAAGAAUCAUAAAAUUUAUCACUAAAUUGCAUUAUUCAAAGGGAUAUCAAACGAAUUUGAGGAAAAAAAAAAAGGAAAGAAAGCAGCAUCGAGCCAUACCUUUCCCAAUGCAAUGGGCAUGGUGAAUCUGAAUCAUGGACCAGUGUCAUGAAUAAUGCAAAUUCACCAUCCCUUCCAGUAUUUUAUUAUCAAACAGUAAACCCUAGGCCCUGUUGCAGGAGGCUGUGUGAGGGAGAGAAGCGAGACUGCUGUGUAUUCUAGAUGUGAGGGCCCUAAGAUCCCUAAAUGUAAUUGUUUUUAUAGAGUCCCUACAUUUUUUCUUAUUUAUCAUGCGGUUCAUAUAUAUUUA